AGAGGGUGCAAGCGUUAAUCGGAUUUACUGGGCGUAAAGGGCGCGUAGGUGGUAAAGCAAGUAAGAUGUGAAAGCCCUGGGCUUAACCUAGGAAGUGCAUCUUAAACUGCUUAACUAGAGUAUGGUAGAGGGUAGUGGAAUUUCCGGUGUAGCGGUGAAAUGCGUAGAUAUCGGAAGGAACGCCAGUGGUGAAGACGACUACCUGGACCAAUACUGACACUGAGGCGCGAAAGCGUGGGGAUCAAACAGGAUUAGAUACCCUGGUAGUCCACGCUGUAAACGAUGAGGACUGGAUGUCAGGCAGCUUGGCUGUUUGGUAUCGAAGCUAACGCGAUAAGUUCUCCGCCUGGGAAGUACGGUCGCAAGAUUA
rnacentral:rRNA from 1 species